rnacentral:rRNA from 1 species
GAUGAACGCUGGCGGCGUGCUUAACACAUGCAAGUCGAACGAAGCAUUUAGGACAGAUUACUUCGGUUUGAAGUUCUUUAUGACUGAGUGGCGGACGGGUGAGUAACGCGUGGGCAACCUGCCUUGUACUGGGGGAUAGCAGCUGGAAACGGCUGGUAAUACCGCAUAAGCGCACAAUGUUGCAUGACAUGGUGUGAAAAACUCCGGUGGUAUAAGAUGGACCCGCGUCUGAUUAGCUAGUUGGUGAGAUAACAGCCCACCAAGGCGACGAUCAGUAGCCGACCUGAGAGGGUGACCGGCCACAUUGGGACUGAGACACGGCCCAGACUCCUACGGGAGGCAGCAGUGGGGAAUAUUGCACAAUGGAGGAAACUCUGAUGCAGCGACGCCGCGUGAGUGAAGAAGUAAUUCGUUAUGUAAAGCUCUAUCAGCAGGGAAGAUAGUGACGGUACCUGACUAAGAAGCUCCGGCUAAAUACGUG